rnacentral:tRNA from 1 species
GAGGGUAUAGCUCAGUGGUAGAGCACGUGCUUAGCAUGCAUGAAGUCCUGGGUUCAAUCCCCAAUACCUCCA